rnacentral:rRNA from 1 species
AGAGUUUGAUCCUGGCUCAGAUUGAACGCUGGCGGCAUGCCUUACACAUGCAAGUCGAACGGCAGGCACGGGAGCUUGCUCCUGGUGGCGAGUGGCGAACGGGUGAGUAAUACAUCGGAACGUACCCUGAAGUGGGGGAUAACGUAGCGAAAGUUACGCUAAUACCGCAUAUUCUGUGAGCAGGAAAGAGGGGGAUCGCAAGACCUCUUGCUUUAGGAGCGGCCGAUGUCGGAUUAGCUAGUUGGUGAGGUAAAGGCUCACCAAGGCGACGAUCCGUAGCGGGUCUGAGAGGAUGAUCCGCCACACUGGGACUGAGACACGGCCCAGACUCCUACGGGAGGCAGCAGUGGGGAAUUUUGGACAAUGGGCGGAAGCCUGAUCCAGCCAUGCCGCGUGAGUGAAGAAGGCCUUCGGGUUGUAAAGCUCUUUCGGCGGGGAAGAAAUUGCACGGGUUAAUACCCUGUGUAGAUGACGGUACCCGAAUAAGAAGCACCGGCUAACUACGUG